UAGAGUUUGAUCAUGGCUCAGGAUGAACGCUGGCGGCGUGCUUAACACAUGCAAGUCGAACGGACUCAUAUUGAAACCUAGUGAUUUAUGAGUUAGUGGCGGACGGGUGAGUAACGCGUGGAUAACCUGCCGUAUACCGGGGGAUAACACUUAGAAAUAGGUGCUAAUACCGCAUAAGCGCACGGCUCCGCAUGGGGCAGUGUGAAAAACUCCGGUGGUAUACGAUGGAUCCGCGUCUGAUUAGCUAGUUGGCGGGGUAACGGCCCACCAAGGCAGCGAUCAGUAGCCGGCCUGAGAGGGUGGACGGCCACAUUGGGACUGAGACACGGCCCAAACUCCUACGGGAGGCAGCAGUGGGGAAUAUUGCACAAUGGGGGAAACCCUGAUGCAGCGACGCCGCGUGAGUGAAGAAGUAUCUCGGUACGUAAAGCUCUAUCAGCAGGGAAGAAAAUGACGGUACCUGACUAAGAAGCCCCGGCUAACUACGUGCCAGCAGCCGCGGUAAUACGUAGGGGGCAAGCGUUAUCCGGAUUUACUGGGUGUAAAGGGAGCGUAGACGGCAGCACAAGUCUGGAGUGAAAUCCCGGGGCUUAACCCCGGAACUGCUUUGGAAACUGUGCGGCUGGAGUGCAGGAGGGGUAAGCGGAAUUCCUAGUGUAGCGGUGAAAUGCGUAGAUAUUAGGAGGAACACCGGUGGCGAAGGCGGCUUACUGGACUGUAACUGACGUUGAGGCUCGAAAGCGUGGGGAGCAAACAGGAUUAGAUACCCUGGUAGUCCACGCCGUAAACGAUGAUUACUAGGUGUCGGGGGACCAAGGUCCUCCGGUGCCGGCGCAAACGCAUUAAGUAAUCCACCUGGGGAGUACGUUCGCAAGAAUGAAACUCA
rnacentral:rRNA from 1 species